rnacentral:rRNA from 1 species
UACGAAGGGGGGCUAGCGUUGCUCGGAAUCACUGGGCGUAAAGGGCUCGUAGGCGGCCAACUAAGUCAGACGUGAAAUCCCUCAGCUUAACUGGGGAACUGCGUCUGAUACUGGAUGGCUUGGAUUCGGGAGAGGAAUGCGGAAUUCCAGGUGUAGCGGUGAAAAUGCGUAGAUAUCUGGAGGAACACCGGUGGCGAAGGCGGCAUUCUGGACCGAUAUUGACGCUGAGGAGCGAAAGCCAGGGGAGCAAACGGG